rnacentral:rRNA from 1 species
UGCAAGUCGAGCGAAGCUUUUCAGUAGUUUACUACAGAAAAUGACUGAGCGGCGAACGGGUGAGUAACGCGUGAGCAACCUACCUUAGUUACUGGGAUAGCCCGAGGAAACUCGGAUUAAUACCAGAUAUUCUUACUUAAUCACAUGAUUUUUUAAGGAAAGGUCAGCCGAACUAAGAUGGGCUCGCGUUCUAUCAGCUAGUUGGUAGGGUAACGGCCUACCAAGGCUACGACGGAUAGCUGGUCUGAGAGGACGAUCAGCCACACUGGGACUGAGACACGGCCCAGACUCCUACGGGAGGCUGCAGCAGGGAAUAUUGUGCAAUGAACGAAAGUUUGACACAGCGACACCGCGUGUGGGAUGACGGAUCUAGGUUUGUAAACCACUUUCAGGAGGGAAGAAAAUGACGGUACCUCCACAAGAAGCUCCGGCCAACUACGUGCCAGCAGCCGCGGUAAUACGUAGGGGGCGAGCGUUGUCCGGAUUUAUUGGGCGUAAAGAGCUCGUAGGCGGUUCAACAAGUCGGUCGUGAAAGUUCAGGGCUCAACCCUGAAAUGUCGAUCGAUACUGUUGUGACUAGGAUACGGCAGAGGUGAGUGGAAUUCCGAGUGUAGCGGUGAAAUGCGUAGAUAUUCGGAGGAACACCAAUUGCGAAGGCAGCUCACUGGGCCGCUAUCGACGCUGAGGAGCGAAAGCUAGGGGAGCAAACAGGAUUAGAUACCCUGGUAGUCCUAGCUGUAAACGAUGGAUACUAGAUGUAGGAAUUGGUUUAACGAUUUCUGUAUCGUAGCUAACGCGUUAAGUAUCCCGCCUGGGGAGUACGGUCGCAAGACUAAAACUCAAAGGAAUUGACGGGACCCCGCACAAGCGGCGGAGCAUGCGGCUUAAUUCGAUGAUACCCGUAGAACCUUACCUGGACUUGACAUAUAGGGAAAAGUUA